AACGAACGCUGGCGGCAGGCUUAACACAUGCAAGUCGAGCGGAGAUGAGGUGCUUGCACCUUAUCUUAGCGGCGGACGGGUGAGUAAUGCUUAGGAAUCUGCCUAUUAGUGGGGGACAACAUUCCGAAAGGAAUGCUAAUACCGCAUACGCCCUACGGGGGAAAGCAGGGGAUCUUCGGACCUUGCGCUAAUAGAUGAGCCUAAGUCGGAUUAGCUAGUUGGUGGGGUAAAGGCCUGCCAAGGCGACGAUCUGUAGCGGGUCUGAGAGGAUGAUCCGCCACACUGGGACCGAGACACGGCCCGGACUCGGACGGGAGGAAGCAGUGGGGAAUAUUGGACAAUGGGAGGAAGACUGAACCAGCCAUGCCGCGUGUGUGAAGAAGGCCUUUUGGUUGUAAAGCACUUUAAGCGAGGAGGAGGCUACCUGGAUUAAUACUCUAGGAUAGUGGACGUUACUCGCAGAAUAGGCACCGGCUAACUCUGUGCCAGCCGCCGCCGUAAAAC
rnacentral:rRNA from 1 species